AGGCGACGAUCAGUAGGGGUUCUGAGAGGAAGGUCCCCCACAUUGGAACUGAGACACGGUCCAAACUCCUACGGGAGGCAGCAGUGAGGAAUAUUGGUCAAUGGGCGAGAGCCUGAACCAGCCAAGUAGCGUGCAGGAUGACGGCCCUAUGGGUUGUAAACUGCUUUUAUAAGGGAAUAAAGUGAGUCUCGUGAGACUUUUUGCAUGUACCUUAUGAAUAAGGACCGGCUAAUUCCGUGCCAGCAGCCGCGGUAAUACGGAAGGUCCGGGCGUUAUCCGGAUUUAUUGGGUUUAAAGGGAGCGUAGGCCGGAGAUUAAGCGUGUUGUGAAAUGUAGACGCUCAACGUCUGCACUGCAGCGCGAACUGGUUUCCUUGAGUACGCACAAAGUGGGCGGAAUUCGUGGUGUAGCGGUGAAAUGCUUAGAUAUCACGAAGAACUCCGAUUGCGAAGGCAGCUCACUGGAGCGCAACUGACGCUGAAGCUCGAAAGUGCGGGUAUCGAACAGGAUUAGAUACCCUGGUAGUCCGCACGGUAAACGAUGGAUGCCCGCUGUUGGUCUGAA
rnacentral:rRNA from 1 species